rnacentral:rRNA from 1 species
CGGGAGUAAAUGCUUGGGAAUCUAGCUUAUGAGGGGGAGUAACUACGGGAAACUGUAGCAAUACCGCGUAGAAUCGAGAGAUGAAAGUGUGGGACCUUCGGGCCACAUGCCAUAGGAUGAGCCCAAGUGGGAUUAGGUAGUUGGUGAGGUAAAGGCUCACCAAGCCGACGAUCUCUAGCUGGUCUGAGAGGAUGACCAGCCACACUGGGACUGAGACACGGCCCAG